rnacentral:rRNA from 1 species
UCCAGCAGCCAUAUCACUCUACAUCUUACAACUGAUAACCUGUUGAAGCUAAACAGGUAUGAGCCUGGCAGGUCCUGGAUGGGAGACCUCAUGGGAAAAAGGUUGCUGCUGGGA